AGGAGAGUUUGAUCAUGGCUCAGGACGAACGCUGGCGGCGUGCCUAAUACAUGCAAGUAGAACGCUGAAGGAGGAGCUUGCUUCUCUGGAUGAGUUGCGAACGGGUGAGUAACGCGUAGGUAACCUGCCUGGUAGCGGGGGAUAACUAUUGGAAACGAUAGCUAAUACCGCAUAAUAUUGACUAUUGCAUGAUAGUUGAUUAAAAGGUGCAAUUGCACCACUACCAGAUGGACCUGCGUUGUAUUAGCUAGUUGGUGGGGUAACGGCUCACCAAGGCGACGAUACAUAGCCGACCUGAGAGGGUGAUCGGCCACACUGGGACUGAGACACGGCCCAGACUCCUACGGGAGGCAGCAGUAGGGAAUCUUCGGCAAUGGACGGAAGUCUGACCGAGCAACGCCGCGUGAGUGAAGAAGGUUUUCGGAUCGUAAAGCUCUGUUGUAAGAGAAGAACGAGUGUGAGAGUGGAAAGUUCACACUGUGACGGUAUCUUACCAGAAAGGGACGGCUAACUACGUGCCAGCAGCCGCGGUAAUACGUAGGUCCCGAGCGUUGUCCGGAUUUAUUGGGCGUAAAG
rnacentral:rRNA from 1 species